AGACACUAAGCAGUACCUCUCCAUGGUCUGUGCGUCAGCUCCUGCCUCCAGGUUCCUGCUGUUUGAGUUUCUGUCCUGACUUCCUUCAGUGAUAAAAGGUGAAGAGGAAGUGUAAGCUAAAUAACUCCUUUCCUCCUCAAGCUGCCUUGGUCAUGGUGUUUCAUCACAGCAGCUGUGACCUCAACUAACAAAAAUAUUGAUAGCAGAAUAAUGGUGUAUCGCUAUGGCAGAUGUAGCGAUGUAGUCUUGGGAGGAUUAUGGAAGGACUUUGGAAUGUUUCGGUGGAAAACCAUUGAGUAUUGAGAGCUCAGUGGGUUGUUCUUUAGGAUUUUGGAAAAUAAGAUUGUUGAGAGCAGUACAAACGAUGGAGUCCUGGUUUAAGAAGUUUUAGAGAGAGGAAAGUGCAAAGACUAUGUGGAUCAUUUGAUAUUUUGAAUUAAGGUUCUGUGAUUCUGGUCAGCUGGGGCUGAGAGGCAGCCAUGAUUAACAAGAGACCAGCACCAUUAAAGUGAAACCUUUGCUUUACUGGCACAGUUGAUGCUGGUUUAGCUGAGGCUGAGAAAUUAGCAGUGAUUAAGGAAGAAACCAACAUCAGUGAAGUGAGAUCUUCUGGGAAGUUUUUCCUGAGAAGUAGCAAAUAGAAACUGUAUUCCCACGGUGGCCAAGAUUGCACCUGGUUGUGCUGGCAGCCAAAGAAGCUACUGGUGGAAAUGCAGCCCAGUUGCAACAGAGGACCCAGCAUUUUGGAGAGGCCAGUGAUAUGGAUGACCAAGAAAAGCAGCAUUGUGGGAAUGGAGCCAUCCAGAGCCUACACUAUAAAACGUGUGUACUGCAGAAGGCAGAGCCAGAGAAGUGACCCAAGCCCUGUGGAGGAGCUUAGAAGACUAAGACUGUGUCAAAGCUAUAAUAUUGUCUCAGAGAUAACAAAGAGGUCAGAAAACAUUCUUUGGAAAAAAUAACAGAAAGAUCCCUGAUGUCUAAACAACAGAGUCCUCCAACAUGCGAUAAAAUAAAUUUGUCCUUUACAUAUUUAAUUUUGAAUUUUGUCAAGAGCGAUAAUUACCCUGUGUCAUCUCAGAGCCUUGAAACUUUAGGAACCACCCAGCCAUGGCUUUGCCAGAGAGAAACCUGGUUGGAAUCAUUGUACAGAAAAUCUUGUGUUGGACCCCAACGUGAAAGAUCUGGGACCCUGUGCAGAGUGGAUACAGAUACCUUAAAGGCAAAGAGUGACUAGACAGGAAGGACUUCAUUUUAAAUUGACAGGAGGCUCAAAGAAUAAAAUGCGGUUUUAUAGCUCCGA